CGCCUUUUGAUAUAUAUUUAUAAAAGGUCCUGCCUGCCCAGUGACUCUGUUUAACGGCCGCGGUAUCAUGACCGUGCAAAGGUAGCGUAAUCACUUGUCUUUUAAAUAAAGACUAGUAUGAACGGCAACACGAGGGUCCAACUGUCUCAUUAAAUUGGUCAGUGAAAUUAAUCUUUCCGUGCAGAAGCGGGAAUAAUUAUAUAAGACGAGAAGACCCUGCGGAACUUUAAAUCCAAACUAACACUUAAUAGUAUUAUAGUAUACGAUUUUUGGUUGGGGCGACCAUGAGGCAAAAUUAACCCUCAAGAUAUAAAUCAGAGAGACAUCUCUAACAAAUAGUUAUACUAACACAUUGACCCAAUAAUUGAUCAACGAACCAAGCUACCCCAGGGAUAACAGCGCAAUCCACUCACAGAGCCCAUAUCGACGAGCGGGUUUACGACCUCGAUGUUGGAUCAGGACUACCUAGUGGUGCAGCAACUACUAAAGGUUCGUUUGUUCAACGAUUAAAGUCCU
rnacentral:rRNA from 1 species